AAUUGCAGUGUGUCUCAUUGAGCCAUUAAUGAUGUUGCUGUUUGCUCCCUUAGCAGCUCCCUGUAUUCUGAUACAUUACCUGUUCCCUGCCUCUCUGCCCAUAAUCAGGAUCAUCAUCCUUUUAAGGUUACUUGAUUGCACCUGUCUGCCCACUUGUAUGUCUGCACUUGGAUCCUCCUUGUGCUUCAUACACCAGCCAUGAUAGAGAUGGACUUCCUUGGAUCAUUUACAACUGGUCCAGAACGCAACUCCCAGGCUUUUAACAAGAAACCAGAUGCGGCCACUAAAACAAUAAAGCUCCCUUCCAGAGAGUCAUAAAACACAUCAUAAUCAGAUGGGCCACGCCAGGAUCAAUAAUUUCCAGUUAGACCCGACAGCCUAGAAGAACACGGCUUUGGAUGCUGCAGCAGGAUGCAGAGGGAGGCUUAGAGGACUGAUGGAGGCCGAGAGUUGGGUUACAUCUAAAGUGCACCGGUGAAUCAAUAGUCUGUGAAGACCUUAGCGCACGGUCAGAGUUAUGGGACGGUCUCUCGUGGGAUCUGUAGCGCACAGGCCUGCUCUACGAAACGGUGCUGACAAAAACAACUGAUUGGGUUUCACUUUCAAAAGGCAUUACCCUGCUCAUGAAUUUGAAGUACAGUGUGAAUUGUCAGAUGAUGAUGGACCAUGUUUUGGUUAUAAUUAGCAAUGAAAUAGGUGCUCAGAUUUUUUUAAUUAAAAAUGAUUAUCCCUCAAAUAUUCUGUUACAUGUGACAGUCAUAUAAGUGCAGUUGUUAUAAGGGCAUUCAUUGCUUCCUUCUUCAGCCUACUAUGAAGAGGUGAAGCGUGUUCCUGUGCUAGAGGGUGUGUGCUCCUCAGAGCAGACCUGAUCAUAUGACUUUUCAUAGAUUAUUCUUGAUUUUUGGACCCAGUUGACCGUUCUGAUUGAUCACAUUUGUAUGUGCACAUACAUACAAAUACAGAGAAAGUGAGAGAUAAAGACCGCAUCUCCUUGCUGAACUGCACUGCCGAGCACCAUUCGUAGUUAAUCGAUGAAGAGGAGAUCCUAGAUUCUAAUUAUCUGUUGCAGUGGCUGCUGCAGUACUCUUCUUGUGUUUUCUCUCUAUCCUGUGUCAUUCCUCUAACAACUUUCUCCAGCAUCCUUCCUUCUUCUGCUUCUCAUAUCUUCCACCCUCCAUCCUUUGUCUCAUAUCGCCUCAGCUCCACUUUUCUGCCUCGAUCCCCACUGUUGUCCUCACACCCUCUCCCUCCCUCUCGGGGGUUUGCUAACACCCCCUUUCUUCUGAACUCCACUUCACCCACACAUACAGUAUGUAUCUAUAGCACUGAGUAAUCUACUGUACAAGAAGGGACCAAAGGGUGCAUUCAUUCUGCUGUACUUGAGACACACAUAUGCAGUUAAACACACUCGCACACUCUGUGCUGAGAGCUAUUCAUUCAUUAAUGCAGUCACAUGCUGCACGUCUGAGUUUCACACAUCACUGGUCUUUGGUUAGUGAAAGAGAGGAUUGAGAUGGACAGAGGCAGCGAGCAGGGCUGUGUGCAUGUAUGUCUGAAUAUACUCUUUCAUUAUAUUGUAUUUCCUGGUAUAUACACACAGUAU